rnacentral:ncRNA from 1 species
UUUAGUUAGAGUUUGAUCCUAGCUCAGGAUGAACGCUGGCGGCGUGGAUAAGGCAUGCAAGUCGAACGGACUUUCUAAAAUCCGAGAUGCGAUUAUAUCAAGUCAAAGGUCGUAGAAAGUUAGUGGCGAACGAGGUAGUAAUACAUAGGAACUUCCCCCGAAGUCGUGAAUAAUCUGUCGAAAGACAGACUAAUACACGAUGGUCUCGCAAGAGUAAAGUUUUAACGCUUCGGGAAAGGCCUGUGCGAUAUCAGCUAGUUGGUAGUGUAAUGGACUACCAAGGCUAUGACGUCUAGGGGAGCUGAGAGGCUGACCCCCACCGAUGGUACUGAGACACGGACCAUACACCUACGGGUGGCUGCAGUCGAGAA